GGCCCCAUGGGUAGGGGCCCCGGGGCCCGGCCGCCAAGCCGGGCGCCCGCCGGGGGGACGCCAACCCCAAACUCUUGCUGCAACAGUGGAAAUUCCGAGUCAAAACAAAAAAACAAGUUAAAACUUUCAACAACGGAUCUCUUGGUUCUGGCAUCGAUGAAGAACGCAGCGAAAUGCGAUAAGUAAUGUGAAUUGCAGAAUUCAGUGAAUCAUCGAAUCUUUGAACGCACAUUGCGCCCGCCAGCAUUCUGGCGGGCAUGCCUGUUCGAGCGUCAUUUCAACCCCUCAGGCCCCCGCGCCUGGCGUCGGGGCACCCCCGCGAGGGGGGCCCCCAGAGACAUCGGCGGACCCGCCGCGGCUCCGAGCGCAGUAACUCUUGCUAUCGCUCCUGGAGGCCCGCGGCGAGGACCCGGCCGCUAAACCGGGCUCCCGCGAGGGACCCAGCACCCAAAGGUUGACCUCGGAUCAGGUAGGAAUACCCGCUGAACUUAAGCAUAUCAAUAAGCGGAGGAAAAGAAACCAACAGGGAUUGCCCCAGUAACGGCGAGUGAAGCGGCAACAGCUCAGAUUUGAAAUCCGGCCCCCCGGGCCCGAGUUGUAAUCUGUANAGGAUGCUUCUGGCGAGGCGCCGUCCGAGUUCCCUGGAACGGGACGCCGGA
rnacentral:rRNA from 1 species